rnacentral:rRNA from 1 species
GUGGGGAAUAUUGGACAAUGGGCGCAAGCCUGAUCCAGCCAUGCCGCGUGAGUGAUGAAGGCCUUAGGGUUGUAAAGCUCUUUUGUCCGGGAAGAUAAUGACUGUACCGGAAGAAUAAGCCCCGGCUAACUUCGUGCCAGCAGCCGCGGUAAUACGAAGGGGGCUAGCGUUGCUCGGAAUCACUGGGCGUAAAGGGCGCGUAGGCGGACUUUUAAGUCGGAGGUGAAAGCCCAGGGCUCAACCCUGGAAUUGCCUUCGAUACUGGGAGUCUUGAGUUCGGAAGAGGUUGGUGGAACUGCGAGUGUAGAGGUGAAAUUCGUAGAUAUUCGCAAGAACACCGGUGGCGAAGGCGGCCAACUGGUCCGAAACUGACGCUGAGGCGCGAAAGCGUGGGGAGCAA